CUCCGCUCAACACUGUGUGCACUGCGAAGCUCAACCCGUUCGGCAGGUCCAACCAUGUUGGACCUGGAUUUUCAAAAACAUAGGGGGGUCAGAGCGCGGCGGCCCCUCCCUAAAUGGUAUAGCCUGUCGGCCAGCCUGUGAUGUAAAAAGUCACCGAACACCUCUUUUCCCGCUUCAUGUUUUGAAAGUUUAACGGACGGUCGGUGUGAGUGAGUAACUUAGUACUACUGUACUGAGUAAUGAUGGAAGAAAGGCAAAAAAGAAAACUGAAAGGUGGCGCUGAGAAGGUCAGACUCAAAAGAAAAAAAAUGAUGGAGGAGGAGGCAUGGAAAUGCUCCAAAAUUACAGACAUGUUCCGGGCAACAACGAGCAAAUACACUACAGGUGAAAUAAACUGAGUCUGAAGCACUUGUUGUGGGCGGAGUUCGGGCUGGCAACCAGGCUAGUGCUGCGCCAGACUAAUCUCAAAUAUUGUAAAGAUUCCUUGUAAGGUUUCAUUUUUUUAAAUGAACAACACUACACCUGAGAGAAAGUUUAACAUUUGGAAUACAGCCUCUUUUUGACUGCAUUUAUUCAUGAAACAUGACACUCCAUUUGUAGUCAGAUUGUGCUUGAAGGAGAUCAUUCACUGUAGGCAGGGCAGCAUAUUGGGCCAUGUUGGUCAAUCCUGAUGCUACACAACAGCUCAUACCACUGCGUAAAUUGGCCAUUUCAUCUGCAACAAACCUGUAUAGAAAACAGAUGCAAGGAAUGCAAUGGAAUAUAGCCUGCAUUAGACUUAGAUAUCUGCAGUGUGAAAUGAUCUGUGAGAUUUAGUAUUUGAGGAAGUUACCAUUCAUCUGUCAUCUUAUCAUAGCACUCCACAUCACAGGUGGUGCUUAUUCCAGAGGACUUAUUAACCCUCCGACAGCAAACAACCGACCAUUAACUACCUGGAUUUUGAGGAAGUUAAAAAGGAAAAUACAUAAUGUACAGCUUAAGUCUUUAAAUUUACAUUAAUAAAUCUCAUUAUAGAUGCAACGCUUCAUUUACAAGCGAUACUUCAAGGGAUACUCAUAGUAGGAAAAAAAUAGUAGUAGUAGUAGUAGUUCCAUAGUAG